UUAAAUGAUAAAUAUGACAAAUACAUCUAACAUGGAAAAUAUUACUAAAUGUAGGAUUAAGGUGGCAUUUUUGUAAAUGCCAUGGAAAAUAUUGCUAAAUGAUGUUUCUGAAGUUGUUUCUCAUUAGUUUGGCAUUUUGUUACUCAAGUAAGAGCACAAAAUAAGGCUAAGUGUAAAACUGGUGGGAAAUUACUUGUUCAUAAAUUUACUGGAGACCGUAGCGGCAC
rnacentral:lncRNA from 1 species